GACGAACGCUGGCGGCGUGCUUAACACAUGCAAGUCGAACGGAAAGGCCCCUUUGGGGGUACUCGAGUGGCGACCGGGUGCGUAACACGUGCGUAACCUGCCCUUGACUUCGGGAUAACUACAGGAAACUGGGGCUAAUACCGGAUAGGGAUCAUUGCUGCAUGGUGGGGGUUGGAAAGCUUCGGCGGUUUUGGAUGGACUCGCGGCUUAUCAGCUUGUUGGUGGGGUAGUGGCUUACCAAGGCGUUGACGGGUAGCCGGCCUGAGUGGGCGACCGGCCACACUGGGACCGAGGGACGGCCGAGACUCCUACGGGUGGCAGCAGUGGGGAAUAUUGCACAAUGGGCGGAAGCCUGAUGCAGCAACGCCGUGUGCGGGAUGACGGCCUUCGGGUUGUAAACCGCUUUCAGCAGGGGCGAAGCUUGUGGUGACGGUACCUGCAGAAGAAGCACCGGCUAACUACGUG
rnacentral:rRNA from 1 species